UCCGAGUUGACCCCGGCAGUCUCCUAUGAGUCCCCGCCAUAACGCGCUGGCAACAUAGAACGAGGGUUGCGCUCGUUGCGGGACUUAACCCAACAUCUCACGACACGAGCUGACGACAGCCAUGCAGCACCUGUGCUGGAGCUCCGAAGAGGGGCCAAUGUUUCCACGGCUGUCACCUACAUGUCAAGCCCAGGUAAGGUUCUUCGCGUUGCGUCGAAUUGAACCACAUGCUCCGCUGCUUGUGCGGGUCCCCGUCAAUUCCUUUGAGUUUUAGCCUUGCGGCCGUACUCCCCAGGCGGGGCACUUAAUGCGUUAGCUGCGGCACGGAAGGAGUCGACACCUCCCACACCUAGUGCCCAUCGUUUACGGCGUGGACUAC
rnacentral:misc_RNA from 1 species